UACGUAGGGUGCAAGCGUUGUCCGGAAUUAUUGGGCGUAAAGAGCUCGUAGGCGGCUCGUCGCGUCGGACUGUGAAAACUCGGGGCUUAACCCCGGGCUUGCAGUCGAUACGGGCGGGCUAGAGUUCGGUAGGGGAGACUGGAAUUCCUGGUGUGAGCGGUGGAAAUGCGCCAGAGUAUCAGGAGGAACACCGGUGGCGAAGGCGGGUCUCUGGGCCGAUACUGACGCUGAGGAGCGAAAGCGUGGGGAGCGAACAGG
rnacentral:rRNA from 1 species